rnacentral:rRNA from 1 species
AGGACGAACGCUGGCGGCGUGCUUAACACAUGCAAGUCGAGCGGAAAGGCCCUUCGGGGUACUCGAGCGGCGAACGGGUGAGUAACACGUGAGCAAUCUGCCCUUAGCUUCGGGAUAGCUCCGGGAAACCGGAAUUAAUACCGAAUAUGACUGUGGUCGACAUCUGCCACGGUGGAAAGUUUUUCGGCUAGGGAUGAGCUCGCGGCCUAUCAGCUUGUUGGUGGGGUAAUGGCCUACCAAGGCGACGACGGGUAGCCGGCCUGAGAGGGCGACCGGCCACACUGGGACUGAGACACGGCCCAGACUCCUACGGGAGGCAGCAGUGGGGAAUAUUGCGCAAUGGGCGAAAGCCUGACGCAGCGACGCCGCGUGGGGGAUGAAGGUCUUCGGGUUGUAAACCCCUUUCAGCAGGGACGAAGCGAAAGUGACGGUACCUGCAGAAGAAGCGCCGGCUAACUACGUGCCAGCAGCCGC